rfam:Monodelphis domestica cont3.025972, whole genome shotgun sequence.
AAGUUCCACGUACUGCCUCCAUCUAGAGGAAAUUUUAAAAGAUUUUUUGGCGAUUUUUCAGGGGGUUCCCCAUGGGGCUUUCCACCCGGAUUAGGGUGCCCCGUUUCUCCCGCUGAAAUGAUGCGAUCAAGCAUC